rnacentral:rRNA from 1 species
UACGAAGGGGGCUAGCGUUGCUCGGAAUUACUGGGCGUAAAGCGUGCGUAGACGGUUAUUUAAGUCGGAUGUGAAAGCCCCGGGCUCAACCUGGGAAUUGCAUUCGAGACUGAAUAGCUAGGGUGCGGUAGAGGGAAGCGGAAUUUCCGGUGUAGCGGUGAAAUGCGUAGAUAUCGGAAGGAACAUCAGUGGCGAAAGCGGCUUCCUGGACCAGCACCGACGUUCAGGCACGAAAGCGUGGGGAGCAAACAGG